rnacentral:lncRNA from 1 species
GACAAAAAAAACAAGCUGCCCAGGGAAGCUACAGGAAGACGGGAGAGCAGGGGAAGGUGACAAUCAGUUGAUGCUCUGCUGGGUCAAGCUAUAAGAUAAACACAGGAGCAUAGAUGGAGCCUGGGGUGUGAACCAAGGGAUAUGGCCGAGCACGGGGCAGGAAGUAAAGAGGAAACAGAAACUCAGAUGGGAUGGAAUUAGAGGAAAUUCCAGGAGGAGAACAGGCUAAAGAUGUCAAUAAACUCAUUGGGGGAGUUAGGAUAGGGUCUGCUGAGAUCAGAGCAUCCCUCAGUAGGAUACUUAUCCUGAAAAUGAGUAGCACCCAUUGCUCACUGCUGGCUGUCUAGCAGGAUGCUAUGGAAUCCCCAAGGAAGCUCAGCUGAGAUGUAAGGAGGGGGCCUAGCCC